rnacentral:rRNA from 1 species
AGAGUUUGAUCCUGGCUCAGGAUGAACGCUGGCGGCGUGCCUAAUACAUGCAAGUCGAGCGAACGGACGAGAAGCUUGCUUCUCUGAUGUUAGCGGCGGACGGGUGAGUAACACGUGGAUAACCUACCUAUAAGACUGGGAUAACUUCGGGAAACCGGAGCUAAUACCGGAUAAUAUUUUGAACCGCAUGGUUCAAAAGUGAAAGACGGUCUUGCUGUCACUUAUAGAUGGAUCCGCGCUGCAUUAGCUAGUUGGUAAGGUAACGGCUUACCAAGGCAACGAUGCAUAGCCGACCUGAGAGGGUGAUCGGCCACACUGGAACUGAGACACGGUCCAGACUCCUACGGGAGGCAGCAGUAGGGAAUCUUCCGCAAUGGGCGAAAGCCUGACGGAGCAACGCCGCGUGAGUGAUGAAGGUCUUCGGAUCGUAAAACUCUGUUAUUAGGGAAGAACAUAUGUGUAAGUAACUGUGCACAUCUUGACGGUACCUAAUCAGAAAGCCACGGCUAACUACGUGCCAGCAGCCGCGGUAAUACGUAGGUGGCAAGCGUUAUCCGGAAUUAUUGGGCGUAAAGCGCGCGUAGGCGGUUUUUUAAGUCUGAUGUGAAAGCCCACGGCUCAACCGUGGAGGGUCAUUGGAAACUGGAAAACUUGAGUGCAGAAGAGGAAAGUGGAAUUCCAUGUGUAGCGGUGAAAUGCGCAGAGAUAUGGAGGAACACCAGUGGCGAAGGCGACUUUCUGGUCUGUAACUGACGCUGAUGUGCGAAAGCGUGGGGAUCAAACAGGAUUAGAUACCCUGGUAGUCCACGCCGUAAACGAUGAGUGCUAAGUGUUAGGGGGUUUCCGCCCCUUAGUGCUGCAGCUAACGCAUUAAGCACUCCGCCUGGGGAGUACGACCGCAAGGUUGAAACUCAAAGGAAUUGACGGGGACCCGCACAAGCGGUGGAGCAUGUGGUUUAAUUCGAAGCAACGCGAAGAACCUUACCAAAUCUUGACAUCCUUUGACAACUCUAGAGAUAGAGCCUUCCCCUUCGGGGGACAAAGUGACAGGUGGUGCAUGGUUGUCGUCAGCUCGUGUCGUGAGAUGUUGGGUUAAGUCCCGCAACGAGCGCAACCCUUAAGCUUAGUUGCCAUCAUUAAGUUGGGCACUCUAAGUUGACUGCCGGUGACAAACCGGAGGAAGGUGGGGAUGACGUCAAAUCAUCAUGCCCCUUAUGAUUUGGGCUACACACGUGCUACAAUGGACAAUACAAAGGGCAGCGAAACCGNNNNNNNNNAAUGAAGGACGUUACUAACGACGAUAUGCUUUGGGGAGCUGUAAGUAAGCUUUGAUCCAGAGAUUUCCGAAUGGGGAAACCCAGCAUGAGUUAUGUCAUGUUAUCGAUAUGUGAAUAC